AUUGAACGCUGGCGGCAGGCUUAACACAUGCAAGUCGAGCGGGGUGAUGGUGCUUGCACUAUCACUUAGCGGCGGACGGGUGAGUAAUGCUUAGGAAUCUGCCUAUUAGUGGGGGACAACAUCUCGAAAGGGAUGCUAAUACCGCAUACGUCCUACGGGAGAAAGCAGGGGAUCACUUGUGACCUUGCGCUAAUAGAUGAGCCUAGGUGGGAUUAGCUAGUUGGUGGGGUAAAGGCCUACCAAGACGACGAUCUGUAGCGGGUCUGAGAGGAUGAUCCGCCACACUUGGGCUGAGACACGGCCCAGACUCCUACGGGAGGCAGCAGUGGGGAAUAUUGGACAAUGGGGGGAACCCUGAUCCAGCCAUGCCGCGUGUGUGAAGAAGGCCUUAUGGUUGUAAAGCACUUUAAGCGAGGAGGAGGCUCUUUUGGUUAAUACCCAAGAUGAGUGGACGUUACUCGCAGAAUAAGCACCGGCUAACUCUGUGCCAGCAGCCGCAGUAA
rnacentral:rRNA from 1 species